UUUUUGUCCAAACUGCAAACAGUCUUAUAAUAUUACUAGAAAUGGUUCCUAAAUCAGGAAGACCCCCAUUGAAAUUUCUCCAUACAUAAUUGGACGGAUGUCUGCAAGAAAAUAUAACUGAAUAAAUUUCACUAUUGGAAGAAAAUUAGAUUAGAAUACAGUAUUUCUACAAUAAUUAAUAUGAAAGAUUGAUUAGUAUGCUCCACAUUUGAUGAAAGCAUGAAUUUUAAUGAGUGGUGUUGGGAGUGCAGGGUUCACACAGAAUUAUUUUGUCUUGAAAUUACAGCCACAGUGGAAAACAAACUUUUUGAAAUGACUUGAAUCUAGAUGUGAAUUAUGAAUGCACUGAUUGAAAAGCAAGAGUCUCGAGUAUGGCUGCCGUAUCUGGGGUCCAAUAUACAACAUUCAUGUCCAUCUACUAGAGUCAAUAUGAUGAUUAGAUCACCAAUGUAUAUGUGCAAACAGUUCAAAGGGAUAUGUAUUGAUGUUGAUGUCUUCAAAAAUGGAGUUGGAACUUCUAAGCUUAAACUCAAGGAUUUACUGU